GUGAGAAUCGUUUUAUUUUAUAGAAAAUGUUAUAUGACCCAAGAAUCGUAUAAUAUAAGUAAUCAACGACAGAUGGCGCGUCGGUAGAAGAAUUAGUUUCGAUCGUAAUAAGUCACGCUCGGUGGUCUUAUUCGUGGACUUGUUUCAUUUUAUAUUUCGUCGUUGAUCAUAAUUUCCUGAAGAUUUUCAACUAGCGUUGAUGAAAUAGACAAAUAGUGUAUACGUCUUGGUAUUACUAACUCCUUCGUGCAAUACGUGACGACGAAUACAGAAGAAUCAUCUGCAUGGCGAUCAAGAGCAACAUAUUUUCUCGAUUUAACGACGUUUGCAAGCAACGGCUCUCGUAGAUAUAGAACAAACCGACUGUUAGGCAAUACUCCAGGGAUUUGGAAAAGGGAUGGAAAAUGGUACGUCAGGCAGAAUUCCCAGUCGCGCGACCAAAAGUUUGAACGAUCGUGCAACAGUUGACGCACCCUCCUCGUCCAUUCUGGAAAUCCGCCCCUAUCGAUGUUGGAGGACGAGCUACGUUGGAGAACGCGCGUGCUAGAAAGAGAGGGAGAGAGAGAGAGAGAGAGGGAGAAACAGAUCGAUGGUUCGAUGAAUCUUCGAUGAUCACACGAGAGAAAUAGAGUUAGAUAUAGAGAUAGAGAUAAUCGAAGGUGAACAAGGAACGAGAAUGAGAUAUAAAUAAAACAAAAGAAACCGGAAAUAAUCGAAGCAUCGUCAAAAUGAUCCAAACGAUAAAACAGAGAUGAAGACGUAAUACUAUGUCGGAUGGAAGGUAUCGUCUCCUCGUUCCAGUUGCUCCAGCAGUGUGGUAGAAGAAGUCGAACGAAAGGCGGCCAGAUUUCAUCGACGUAAUCGUCGUCGCUCUUUCAAAGGCGAGCCGUGAUUAAAACUAACCCCUUUGCUAGAAAAGCUCCAACGAUCGAUGCGUCUUCCUAACACCAGGAAAAUAAUAACGUGGAAAAUAAAAGAUAAAAAAAAGAGAUAGAAAAUAUGAGUGAUUUAAAAGGUAUAGAGAGAGAAAGAGAAAGAGGCAAUGGGGUGAGGGUGCAACAAUCUGCAGAUACCUCGACUCUACCUGAUUACGUCGCUAGUUCUCUAAUUACGGAGAAACCUACAACGAUACUCUACUCGACCCCGUUCGGCAACGUUCGUGCAACCUUCCGAACACGAGUCUUAUUCCGGAAGACGUACAGAAAACGGAAGAGUUUUAAAGGAUGAGAAGUAACAAAGUACGAGGAAUUUUUGGCUUCUCAAAUAUUCUACGACCUCCUUAGAAAACGAGUCCGUUCACGAACACCCGGUAUAGGAGAACGCGUAUCGCGCGGUACGCAUUAAAGAGGAACAUGCCUUAAAGAGGAUAAGACCGAACGAUUAUUUCGAGUAGCGAAGAAUAGCGUCUCGUAGAGAACACAAAGGGAAAAAGAUGAAAAGAAAAAAGAAGAAGAAAAAGGAAAAGAAGAAAAAUAAGAAGAAGAAGAAGAAGCGAGACUCGCCUUUGGAAUGGAUCAACCAAACGCAUUUCUAUUCCACCCACGCGACGCCAAGACGCGGACGUCUGUUUUCGCUCGGUGUGGCUUCCGGAGCUGAACGUCUUUCCGCCUGCGAACUGCCCAAUCAAGAGAAGCGGAACGUUCUCCCUUGAUACGACUGGAUAGCCCUGACCGUUUUCGUGUUUCUCGUUAAGGAAGAUUUUUUUCAAGGUCACGUUUUCCCGCCCAUAAUUCUUUCUCCUUCGAGAGACGCACGUUCUCCAUCUUUCUCUUUCUCUUUUUCUUAUUCUCAUUUUUUCUCGUUUUCUUUUUCUUUUCUCUUUUUUUCCCAUAAAUCUCGAACUCAGUUUUUUUUUCUUCUUUUUAUUCUUUUUUUUUUUUUUCUUUUCAGAGAUCGUAAUAACUUCAAAAGUUUUCAAGUUGCGAUUUGUCUGCUUUUUUCAGAUCGACAGGUAGUUAUAACGUGAAAAACGUACAGAAGCCCACCAGUGUGUAUAUGCGCCGCCGGCAGUUAGCUAUCGUCACAUAAAUUUUCAGUUUUUCCUUUCGAGAGGAAAUAGGAACGAUCCGGUGGGUCCAUCGUUGUAAGUUCCUGUGGGACGUUCCAAGGGAUCGAACGAUUCCGAACGUUGGCGAUUCCGUAUUCCUCGAAGGUUCGGGUUUCGUUCGGUGAGAUAAGGGAUGGUAUGAGGAAUGGUAAGGGACGUGUGUAAUUCGAUCAGACCCUUCGCUUGAACGGCACUUUCCAUUGGUAAGGCGACCAGCUCUUUGGUAUCUUCGUCCCUCUCUCUCUCUCUCUCUCUCUCUCUCCCUCUCUUUCUCUCUUUUUCUCUUAUAUUACUUUUCUCUUUUCUUUCUUCACUCUUCUUUUCUCAUCUUCUUCUUUCCUCUUCACAUCAAUUUUCCUUUUCUGUACGUUCGUCCUUUGCGUUAUCCGUUGCAAACGAUUCAAAGACAUCGUCGACACGCUUCGUCUCAUUGAAACAUUCAGAUAAAGAGAGAAGGGCGAUUCGUUAAGCGAGAGAUGAAUCAUAAGCCCGCAUUUUCCUCGCUAACGAAUAAUGUAAUUUCGAUUGUUCCUUGUCGACGAUAGUAUGAUCGUUCGAAAUUAAUCGUCGUUGUUAAUUACGUCGGAUUUGGUUUUGAACUCUUUCCUCGUGAAAAUUUUAACCAACAUAUUUCAAUCGUUCUUAUCUAUGGUAAAGAAAUCUCGAUGUCUAAGAAAAAUUAAACUAUACAAUUUUAUUUACUGACGCGCAAAAAUAUCUAAAAGAAGAAAAACGAAAAGAAAAAAGUAAAAAAACCAAUUAAAAAAAAGAAAUACUCGACUUUGCGAUAUGGAACAAUCGUAGUCUUUAAACGUUUCUCCGUUAAAAUCGUUGAUAAAAAUCUUAUUAUUGAUAUUAAUCUUACUCUUCUCUUGCAUACGAUUCGAGCAACGCUUUUCGAGUAUUUCUGAGUGAUACGCCAUUUGUCGGACGGUCUCGAUCACAACACGAUUCUCGUUUUCAGUCGUUUGCGGGAUGAGGUGAAGAGGACGAGGACGAGCACGAGGAGAAGGUGGAGGAGGAGGAGGAGGAGGAGGAGAAAUUGUGGGAGGUUGGAACAAAAUAAAGUGCGCUCGGGCUUUUUCAUGUUGUCCUCUUUCUGGUUGUCCAGAGUACGUGUCCAUGUAGAAGAACGAGCACACGUACAUCGUUCAUUUUCAGGCACGGAAAAGCGGCAGCUCGUGCGUUCCCGUUGACUACCAGGGACGGAAGGGGAAAAAUAGGAAAAAAGUGUCGACGAACGAGGGGCCACCGAAUUACGAAUGCAUAGAUCGUUGAAUAAAUAAUGAAAGGACAACGGAUACGUGAGUGUAUGCAUAGAUAUACGAGUACGCGCGCGUGAGUAGUUAACGUGUGCGUGAGUGCGUGCGUGUAUCUAUGCAUCUAUGCGUCUAUAUGUGCGUGUGCGCGAGUUUCGAUAGAUACGUUCGAAGCAAUUGCUCCAACGAUCUCCGACAUUUUUCUCAUUUUCUAUUUUGGAAUAUACUUUAGAAUGAUCGUAAAUUUUUAAUACACAAUGAUCGCUACGUAUUAAUCGCUUCUAAUUAGAUAGAAAUUAUUAUAGACGUUAAUACAGAUCUAUAACGUCUAUAAUCUGCAACAAUAUAAAAUAUUAUAAAUCUAUCUACCUAAGUUCGCGAUAAUUAAAGAAUAGAAAUAUAAUGAAUCGAUGAAAAUGAAUAAAGAUGGACGCCGAAUGAAGGAUCUAGCACCGAUGUCACGAGUUUCGCAUGCUAUUAUCGCGUGGCACGUCAAUAGCGAGUUCCCGACAAAGAGGAUGACGUUCGGGGUGGAAAAGGGAGGAAGAGGAGGAGGAGGAGGAGGAGGAGAAGGAGGUGGAGGAAGAUAGGAUGGAAGAGCAGGGGAGAAGGAGAGGAAAGAAGGAGAAGAGAAAGACGGACGACGUAAACCGAAUGACGAGAAGAUAGUCGCAGCGGGUGGUAGUUAUGUCGUCGCUGGCUGCGUAUGACAGCGACAGAACCGAAGGCCAACCUCCUCCAUCUCCACAACCUUUUCCUCCUUCUCCACCUCCACCUCCACCUCCUCCACCACCUCCUCCAUCACCACCUCCUCUUUUGCCCGGACUCAACUCGACUCGACUCGACUCGACUCGACUCGAGUCGACUCGAUUCUCCUCCCUCGAACGUCCGCUUCUAGCGACGCUUCGAAUCCCUUCCAACCCCUGCGUUCGGUCAAACUUCCCAGACUACCGAGGCGCACUCGACAAUUACGAUCAAUUUCCUGGUCGUCGCCCCCUCUCUCUCUCUCUCUCUCUCUCUCUCUCUCUCUGUUUCUCUCUCUCUCUUUCGCUCUUCUCUUUCGACGGAGCAAUUAAAAAAAAAAAAAAGAAAGAAAAGGAAAAAGAAAAGAAGACAAUUUUAUUUUCUACGACAUUCACGAGACGUCUUAUCGGAUGAAACGAAGGGAAACAGAAAAAUAAGAAAAAAGAAAGGAAAGAGAUAGAGAAAAGAAGAAGGUAAUUAAAGUAGGAACGAUUUUCCAAAAUUUGUUAUAUACUUGUAUCGUUACUUUUUCUCAUUCGCUCGCUCCUUCAUUUUCUCUUUCUUUUUAUCUCUAUAUAAGUAAGAUAUAUCUUCGAAUUUCGCGGUUAAAAAUUGAAACGACCGACAGGCUUCCAUGCCAUUUCGACGUCAUCCUUUUUGAAAGCUUUCAAUUAACUUAAAACGAAUAUAUUACAGGGCGUGGCAAAACUCUCUCUCUCUCUCUCUCUCUCUCUCUCUUCUUUUCUUUUUCCAUUUUUUCCCCUCUUUCCUUCCUUCCGUCUCAUCCUUCUUCCUCAUUUUCCAACUGCUCUCCCGUCUUUCCAACGGAAACCAACUUGCUGUAUUUCCUUCGCGACAGGCUGCUCCUUUCGCUGCUUCUGCUACCGAGAGUUCUUCUCUUGGUUCUUUUUUCUUUUUUUUUCUUUUUUCUUUUUUUUCUUUCUCCUUUUCUUUUUCUGUUCUUUUCUUUUCCUUUCCUUUCCUUUCCUUUCCUUUCCUUACCUUUUCCUUCAUCGAGCUCCCUACCUUCGCUUUUACCUCCCUUCGUCUCUCUUCGAAAAAGACACCUCGAGAACGUUGAGAAGUAACGAGAGGAAGAGAGAAAGAAAGAAAAGGAAAGAGAGAGAGAGAGAGAGAGAGAGAGAAAGAGAGAGGGUAAGCUCACGGAUAUUAUCGAUCUGCUUCGGAGCGAUGAUGUUCGAAGGGUGGUAAAAAAGGAUCGUCGAAAAGAGUCCGACGUCUCGCUUGAUAUUCCAGCCCAUUAGUGAUAAUCACUUAUGUUAUUUCUGUAUUUUUCUUUCUUCCUCUUUCUCUCUUUUCUUUCUCUUUCCAUUCGUCUCAUCGAAGAAGCCAAUGUUUAAUAACAAUGAUAAGAAGAAGAAAGAGAAGAUAAGAAAAAAGAAGAAAAAAAAACGUAAAAAGGAUAAGAAGUCAGGAAAGAAAGUAGAGAUCGAUAUUUAAUUAGAUUUUCUUCGAAAAUUAAUUUAAUAAGAGAUAGAUUCAAAAAUAUAACAGAUAGAAGUAUUUAGAGAUGUUAAGAUAAAUUGCGAACGAUUAAAUAGAUACUCGUUGGAUUCGCAUGAAAUAGUUGAAUUCGAUCAAGGUCGCUUCAACCACUCGGACGUUUCAAUUUUUCUCUCUCUCUCUCUCUUUCCCUCUUGCCACGACACUAUCCGCUUUUACGGAUUUAUCGAGGGGAAUCGUGCGAGAGGGUUGCACGCGCCAGUACACACGCAUACAUACGCAUACGCCCACACACACACACAUAAAUACUUAUACCGCCAACGUAGACGCAUAGACGCAUACAGUUACAUUUACAGGCAGUGAGGGUGACAGCGAGACGACGCGAACGAAAAUUACAAGUCGGUCCGGAAAUGACGAGGCACCGGAAGUGCUCGUGGCGCUUCGCUUCCGUCGCUCUGCCGAUCGAAUGCUUGCCUCCAGCGAAAAUCCACGGGUCUAUCGAGCCAGCUCGUUCGACAAGAUAAAAUCGAGAUGGAUAAAGGGUUAACGCGUUGAGUGUUACGCGUGGGGAAGGGGCGGGGGAAAUCAUUCGACUUUCCAAACUUCAUUUUCAACGUUUUCGAAAAUAUCCUGAAAAUCAAGGACAAAUAACGUGAGUCCUUUUCAAAAUCGUCUUUUUUUACCAAAGAAGAUAGUAAACAUUUAAUAAAUGAUAGUAACAGUAAUAAUAGGUAAAUCGGAAAACAAGAAUUUAAAAAAAAAAGAAAAAGAAAACACCUGGAUGCACCUGAACCUGCAUCCACGUAAACUGGAAAAAAAUCAGGAAGAAAUUUAUAAUAAAAACAUUGCGUAACAUAGCGAGAACACUUUUAAAUAUAUAAAGAGAUAGAUUACAUUAAAUCAGAGGCCCGUGUAAGUUGAGUCUGAUGACUCAAUAAAUGGGACCAAAAGAAAUAAAAUAAAAUGAUAAUAAUAAUAUAUAUAAUACAUAAAUAUAUACAUUCUUUUUUUUUCUAUAUGUGCACAUUUAAAAAUAAAUAUGAAAGAAAGUAUAACAAGGAAAGAAAGAAAGAAAGAAAGAGAGACAGAGAAAGAGUAAAAAAUUUGAGUAGACGAUUAUGAACAGACCUUUAGGAUUUCCCCGUCCGUGACGUCGUUGACUCGCGUGGGUGAUAGCGGACGCGAGCUGCGCGGCAGCUCGUUUCGGAGGGUUGGGUUUUCAGCUUCACGAGCAAGGUUCGUGCUUCCUUCCACCUCCGGCUUCGAGCUCAGCCGCAGAAGCCUCGUGCUUCAUCCACGAGAGGGUGGAAUAGAGGGGUUGGAGUGGGUGACGCUGGAGGAAGUGGAUGAGAGUCAAGAAGGAGGUGGAGCUACGGAGUCGGAGUCGAAGUUGGUGGAAGGUGAGGUGGAGGUGAAGGUGACUCGUGCUCGACGUCGACGACGUGCCCGACUUGGAGGAGAUGGAACUGGCCUGUUAUAUCGAGCGAGUACGAAAGAGAAAGAGAGAGAGAGAAAAAAAGAGAUAGAUUUUCAGCAAGACUGAAAAGACACAGUCAGUAGAAAUAUAUAUAUAUAUAUAUAUAUAUAUAUAUAUAUAUAUAUAUAUAUAUAGUACUAGUCGAUUCAAAGCGAUCGUUGCUUAUUAACGAACGAUAGUUAAGCUGUCGUAUACCUUUCGAUAAUUACUCUCGCUCUCUCUCUGUCUCUCUCUUUCUCUCUCCUUCUCUCUCUUUCUCUCUGUUUCUACCUAUCUCUCUUUAUCUCUCUUUUUCAUUUGCUCUCGCUUCGAUGUCAUACGUGUAACGUGUAUAAGAGCAUAUUAAUAUUUUAUAAAUGGAUCCUCGCACGAGAUGGACCAGGGAAAAUCGAUCCAAUCUAUCGAACACGAUUAAAUCCCGAUGUGGAGGUACUCUUUAAUGGAUUUUUGUCUCUACGAGUGCGGAAAAUAUUUAAUGACAACUGUCAAAAUUCUUGUUAAUAUACUUGUUCCUUCGUUACGUUGCAUUUGUAGGCCAGGAAAAAAGGAAAAAUAAAAGGGAAAAUAACAGAGAAAAAAGAAAAGAAGAGAAAGGAAGAAAAAAGUACUUUGUCAAAUAGGACAGAAUAUAUUUUUAGAUUAUAUUUUUUUUUUCGUUUCUUCGUUCCUCUCGAAUUUUCAUCAUUGGAAUUCGUUGUUAGACGAUGUUCCAACGUCGAACGACGAAAAGCAGAUCGAAACGAGAUCAUCCUCUCAUUCGCACCAUUCACGACUCUCUACCACGUCCGUUUCUCUCUCUUUCCUUUCUUCCGUUGGCCGGUGGUCCACUUGGGUGGCUCGAAGAGCAUAUUUACCGCACGCGGCGACGCCGAUGUACAACCGUUCUACAAGGCGUUUCAAAAUUAAUUAAUAUCGUAACGCCGAUUAAUAUCCACGACGAAUCGGUUUGGGAUGUCGCAGGAAAAAAAGAUGUCGUGUGGUAAAAAGUAACAACGCUGUUACGUACGAACGGAAUAAAUAAAAAAAUAAAUAAAUAAAUAAAUAAAUAUAUAAAUUCUCUUUUUUCUCUUUUUUUUUUUUUGGUUUUGUUUUGAAUACGAUCCGGACAGCCUCAAAUAUUCAAGAGAUAUUUCAAAUUCUCGAACUAGAUAUACUUGACACGUUUAAUGAAUAUAUUUAAAAAUAGUGUGACGUCUUUUUCGUAAAAAAAAAGAAAAAAAAUAUACAUGAUACCUACAUCUGUAUAUUAUAUACACAUAUAUAUAUAUAUAUACUUUUUUCUAAAAAAAUUCAUAAUAUUCUACAUUUCCGUUAAGCAGAUUUUCAACAGACUGUACAAUUAGCCAGUAGCUAGCCACGAUGCGUAGAUAGAAGUGGGAGAAGGAUAGAGAGUUUCCUAUUACCGGGAAUCCGAUUCUAAUUCUAGAGCCACGACCGCAUGAGAAGUUGCACGCGUUACAGAGGCAUAAGGGAAACGCUAGCGAAUUUCAUUUCCAUGGGAAGUAAGUAAGAGGCAACAUAAUAUACCUACCUGCAUAGAGGACUUUGCCAAGGAUCGAAAGGAAAGGUAAGAUGAGCUUUUCUAUCGCUCUUUUAGGUGCUCUGAAAUCUGGCUUUGGAGGUUAGCGUAGUGUGUAGUAGCGGUAGAGUUCAAAUUCGAAGAUAGACCGGACUUUUCCUCCUCUGCUUCACUCUCUUUAUCGAAAUAUUCCCCUUUUCCUUUAACCUUCUCUCCCUCUCUCUCGCUCUCUCGUUUCUUAGAUGCAAAAGAUUCUUCGUUUCCUUCUCUCUCUCUCUCUCCCUCUCUUUUGCUCGCUUACUCCUUUCUUAGAUAAAAGCAAAGGAGAAUGAGUCCUCCUUUUCCAUCUCUCUUGCUUCUACUAUUACCACCCACUCUCUUUAUCUUCAUGUUCUCUCUCUCUCUCUCUCUCUCUCUCUCUCUCGCUCUCUCUCUCUCUCUCUCCCUCUCUAUCUAUCCAUCUAUCUAUCUAUCUAUCUAUCUAUCUAUCUAUCUAUCUAUCUAUCUAUCUAUCUAUCUAUCUAUCUUUUGUAUACACAAAUGCAGACACGUACACAAACCCGCACACAACCAAAUACUUCAUCCUUCUCUUUUUCUCUCGACUCUACUUCCCUUUACCUCCAUUUCCUCCUUUUUCUCUUGGAAGCUUCUUCUCCGCAUAGAACCGUUCUUUUUCUCUUCCUCUCUCUCUCUCUCUCUUUCUCUCUCUCUCUCUCUCUUUCUUUCUCCCUCUAUAUUACUAACCACAGGAGGAGCAGACGAAAGAGGCAAAGAAAGAGAAAAGAAGGUUGCGAGGCAGAAGCAGAGGCAGUAGCAGAGCGCCUCUUCUCGCUCUCCUACGUUCUUCUUUAUCCGGCUGGGUGGACCCAGAAUAAAAGACGAAAGCCGCUCGACUCUUUUGAGAGGUCGUGGGAGAUGUUGCGUCUGGCUCCGCAUACUCUGCUCUGUUCUGUUCUGUUCUAUUCUGUUCUGUUCUGUUCUGUUCUGUUCUGAUCUGUUCUGUUCUGUUUUGCUCUCCUCUAGUCUGCUCAGCUUUGCUCAGCUCAGCUCAACUCAGCUCUGCUCUGCUCUGCUCUGCUCUGCUCUGCUCUGCUCUGCUCUGCUUUGCUCAGCUCUGCUCUGCUCUGCUCAGUUCUGCUUUGCUCUGCUCUACUUUUUACGUGCAUGCAUCCAACCACCAUCUAUCGGGUGACUUGCUCGUAAAGUGCCCAAGUUUUUCUAAAAGGUUUAAAGCCGAUCGUUUCUAUCUUACUUACGUUUCUCGAACGUAAAAUUAAAAGAAAAUGAAAGAGAUGUAAAAAGGAAGUUAGAAAUGGAUUUUAUAGAACUUGCACAGUUCGAUUGUGAAAAAAAAUUUAUUAUGUGAAAGAUACAAUGAAAAUCAUCGAGUUUAAAUCGUCCGGUAGGAAGAUUCAUUUAUAUCGCAAUAAUAAUUCUCUCGAAAAAGAAAGAUCAACAAUUUAUCUUACAAUAUUAUUUUCCACUUUUCUCUAUGAUAAAAAGAAAGAAAUUAUCGUCAUACAGAAAAACUCAAGACAAUAGAUUUGUAUUCCGAUAUUACAUCACUCGUUUUUCCUUUCCUUACAUGUUCCAUACGUAAAAUGUACUCAGAACAUAAAAAAAAAAAGAAAUCGUGACUAUCGUCACGAUCCAGCGUCCCUUCAAAAGGGUCAAAAUUCGAUGACGUUUCAGGAUCGUUCGUGUUCGAAGUAGGAAAAAAAAACGAAAUGCUUUUAGCCACAGACGAUUCUUUCUCAUUCUCUCUCUUUCUCUCUUUCUCUCUCUCUCUCUCUCUCUCUCUCUCUCUGUACGUCGAAAUCUUUUUUUUACCUUUCCCUGUUCUUUUCUUUUCUUCUCAGUUGCUCUCCCCAUCCUUUCUUUUUUCUUCUCCCCUCAGAAGUAUCCUCCUUCGCCAUCAUAUCCUCGAUCCUCUACCCGCACGGCAUUAGCUGCCGACGACGUUAUCUUCGGUGGCUAGCACGCGCGCGCGCGAUUAAUAAAACGAGGAUUCGCUUGUGCUAGCCGGCAACGGUAAAGGUUUUUAAUCUUUUUUUUUCCUUCUCUUUCUUUUCUCUUUUUUUUUUACCCGUAGCGAGCGGAACCCUGCUGCUCUUUUUCCUUCCCCCACCUCGCUAAUGGUUGCUGUAGACCUCAGGGCGAUAUUGUGAGGGGGUUUAGUAGGAUUACCUCGGUCCACCUCGACGACCCACCGGAGAUAUCAGCGUUUCGACCUUUUUCCUUUUUCCCACCCUCGACCAACCUCCCACUCACUCUAUCCUACCCGUUUCCAUCUCUCUCUCUCUCUCUCUCUCUCUCUCUCUCUUUCAUUCUUUUUCUUUCUCUGUCUCUUUCCCUCUUUUUAUUUCUCUUUCUUUCCUUUUCUUUCUUUCUCCCCUUUCUUGUCACUUUUCUCUCUCCUUUUUGUGUUUUUCUGAUUUUCGUAGUCGUACUUACGUUUGCACUUACGUAACCACAUACCUACCAUGUAUAUCAAGUAAGUACGUAAUUACAUAAGUGCCUUUCGAGCUAUCGAUCUUUUGAAUUUAUUUUUUCGAUUCAUGAAAUAAUUCGUUUAAUAAUAGACGACAGCUAUCAUGAUAUAUAUGUGAUUGCUCCUUUUAGAUAUUUAUCGAGUUAUUAUCUCAUACUGUUUAUCAUGUCGAAUGAUAAAACGUAUCACAAUGCGGAUCGGUUGCGAUUGACAUUGAUUUUUUAUUAACUUUGUUGAUUCUUUUUCUCCUUUCCUUUUUUUCCUUUUUUUUUCUCUCUUUCUUUCUUUUUUCCCUCUCUCUCUUUUUUUUUCAAACAUCCGAAAAUCGAAUCGCGAAUACAAAUUAUUGAUUGGUCCUCUAGCGCCGGGAGUAACUUUAUUUUUUAUACAAAUUUCAAGCCAAUCUAUCAAGCCGUUUUGAACGACAGAAUGGAUACGCCCGUAUACCGACGUAUUUAGAUUUUGAUACGUCUAUUUAUACAUAGUACGUACAAAUAUGAAAGGCUUAGAUGAAGAUCACGAUAAUUUGUAAAACGUUAUAAGAUCGUUCUUAAGGAUAAAAAAGACGCUUUUGAAAAAUAGCUCCACCUUUUUUUCGCGGACAUUUUCACGAAGGUGCCGACAGAAUCAGCAUCGGUAUCGAUGUCGUUUCAUUUUGUUUCGUUUCGUUUCGUUUCGUUUCGUUUCGUUUCGUUUCGUUUCGUUUCAUAGUCCGAUCUGCUAUCAUAUCUUUAUUAUAUAAUCGAAAUUGCAUUCUGGAACGUGACGAUAGGAAAGGCAACGAAACGAAACGAAACGAAACAAAACGUUUUAUCCCUGGCAGCGAUACUCCUCUCUCUCUCUCUCUCUCUCCCUCUUUCUCUCCCUCUCUCUCUCUCUCUCUUUCUCUCUGGCUUCCUAUUAUCGGCGACUUUUAAUUCCCUCUCUCCAGCAGGCCGUCGUCGCGAAAUACCGAUGCGAAUGCUCGCGUCGAUAUCUCGCUUUUAGCCUGGUAAUAGCGAUCCAUUUAAAAGGCACGCGCGCUUGCCAUACUAUUAACGUUAAAAGGGAGAUGAAGAUACGAAAGCGUUUCGCGGUGGUAACUCCCUCGCGUGACUGAAACGCUUUAUUAUAUUAUUCCCUAUCCAUCGUGGGAGCCACGUUCGUGGCCGCCACCGUACGGCCACCACCGUUUCUAUCACCACCCUCUCGCCCUCUCUCUCACACCCCCUUCUCCAUUUCUCUCUCCCACUCUCUCCCCCCCCUCUCUCUCUCUCUCUCUCUCUCUCUAUGUCUAUGUCUGUCUAUCUCUCUGUCUCGCCAUUUAGUUAAUUUUAAAUUAAUACCGUCAAAUUCGAUAUUUGGCCGCCGUUAAUGCAAUUCGAUUCUGUCCCAGUAUCUCUCUCUCUCUCUCUCUCUCUUUUCCUCUCUCCCUCUCUUUCGUGCCUAUUGCAAUUCUCGCGUUUGAUUAAGCUCUUUCUCUCUCUCUCUCUCUCUUCGUAAUUUAGUGUCCCCUUUACUAAUUAGAUCGACGCGUUCGACGUACGUUCGCAUCCUUUUUCGUCAGACAGAUUUCGUAUACUAGGAAAUCGCUUUCUCUCUCUCUCUCUCUCUCUCUCUCUCUCUCUCUCUCUUUCACGUCACCACCCACUCUCACACCCCACGCCAUUCACUUCACGAUCGUUACGAUCGUUUCUCGAGAAACGUCCUCGUUCUAUAUAUCGAUGAUUAUUAAAAUGUUAAUUAAACCCAUCGAGAAGUCGCGCCGAGGGUGGUGGAUAGUAAACCAAUUAAAAGUGACGUCGAAAGACCUUUCGUUCGAAGGAACGAGUAAAAAGCUUUUGUGUGCUUUUUGGUAGGUUACUUACCUUCUCCGUGAACGUCUCAUCGGUUUUAUUUAUUAAUGGAGAAACUAACAAAAAUGAUGACAAUAAUGAAAUUAGAAAAAGAAAAAUACAUAAAAAGGAAUUAGAAAACAACGGCGAGAGAAACGUAGCGAAACCAAAAAAUUAAAAAAUAAAAACAAAAAAAAAAGGCGACGUCAAAACUCGAUUCGAAUUUUCGAACUCGAACGACGUUUUCUCUCUAUCUAUCUAUCUAUCUAUCUAUCUCUUUUUUUAUUUCACAAUUAUUCGUGAUGUCGACCGAUAUCGACGAUGUUACUAAUCGAUGAAGUUCGUCGCAAAACGAUCGGAGAAUUUCAUGCGUGCGAUCUAGCUCGUAUUACGACUAAUCCAAAUCGAAUUCGCGCGUGUAAAAUGGGCGGUGGAAGGGACAAGGGGUCCGAAGGGAGGGAUAUAACGGUGGUGAUGGUGGUGGUGGUCGUGGUGGUGGUGGUGGUGGUGCUGGUGGUGGUAGUAGUAGUGGUGAUAGUGAUACCAACGGUGGUGAGUUGAAGGGAUAGAAGGUGGAGAGGGUUGAAUACGAGGGUGGCGGCACACGUCAAAGCGAUCGAGUUCUCGUUUCGCGCGUAACCUAUUGAAUCACCGAUUUCCUCGUGCAACCGACACCGAGUACCUACGAGAGUUCGAGAGUUACGUCAAAACUACAUUCACCGUAGUCUUCAAAAAUUUGCCUAGUAAAGGAAACGAGACGGAAUGAUUAGGUAGAUAGGUACGGAUAAUCGUCUGAUCCUUUUCGAAUACACGCGUAUAGCCUGUAAUAAAAAACCCUUUAGGAAAAAAUUCGGAAUCGUUUUAGAAUUUUUGCGGAGAAAAAAAAUUUUUUUUAUUUUCUUUUUUUAUCUUUUUAUUUUCCAUUUUUUUUUUUUAAAUCAAAUAAAUCAUUUAUUUCGCGUUGGUCGUCGAUACGGUCGUUCCUUUUUCUCCCCCGCCCCGCUUUUAAUUGUUCGCUCUUUCUUUUUCUCUCUCUCUCUCUCUCUCUCUCUUUUCCUUUCUGAUAAAGUUCAUCGAAGUGAAACGAACUCGUACGUACCGAUGUUGGAAUUACAUGAAUUAGAUAUUUGAUAGGACGAAAUGUAACGCGUAAAACGUACGAAGCAGGAUUGAAAUGAGAGAUAGAACGAUAGGACGUUUCUUCGUUUGAUAUUCGCGAAACGUCUCGUGGUUGAAGCUACGGAGCGUUCCUCUUUAAGGAGAAUUGAGAGAAAGACCCGUGAGAGAGAAAGAGAAAGAGGAAGGGAGAGAGAAAGAGAGAGAGAGGAAGAGAGGAAGCGGGAACGACGUUAACGAAGCGAAUAGUCUCGGAGGGACUCCCGCACGACGAUUACCGUAUCGAGAUGGCCCCGUCGACCCUCUCAAAAUUGCGACUACUUUAACAAAGGUUGCUUGUGUCAGCAACCUUCGUCGCAACGGAAUAUCAUUUCGCGUAUCUUGCUUCAACGAAUGUAUGAAUCUAUCCUCGGAUUUCUCUAUCUUUAAUAUAUAUAUAUGUAUGUAUGUAUGUAUGUAUGUAUGUAUGUAUGUAUAUGUUCUAUACUUUCUUUUAUAUGUCGUGUGUACAUGUGGGCGGAGAAAGGGAUGCGUAGGCAGAUAGACGUAUUUUCUUCUUUUAGAAAAAGAAUUUUAAUAUUUAUAUAUACAAUUAUAUUUUUUCAUUGAAAAAUACGAAAAGAAAAGUGAUAUUUUUGAAGGAAUUCAGACAUAUAGAUAGACAAAUUCGAAUUAUUCGUAUUCGAGACGCGUAGAAUAUCGAACGUCUAUUCCGCAUAUACUCUGAAAUAUUAAUUAUACAAUAGAGGAGAUAUUACGUGAUCCUUAUUAUCGGAAAUAUAUUGCAUCGAUUCCGUGCCUAUAAUUUCUGGAUUCUCAGGCGUAACGUUACAAUGAAGAAAAGGAUAAUCAAGCUAAAAAAUUAAUAUUUAUAUAUAUUAAUAUAUAUAUAUAUGUAUAUAUAUAUACGUACUUGCAUAUAUUUUUUCCUUUCGUUAAUUAAAAAGUAAGGAAUCUCCGAUUACGCUGGAUCUUGGGCGCCAAACGAGAUUUUUGAAAGCGCACGCACGCACGUAAACCGGGAAGCUAAAGAAAAAAAAAAGGAAAGAAAGAAAGAAAGAAAGAAAGAAAGAAAAAAAAAAUAAUCACGCGCAUAUAAAUCUCGAACGUAGGAUCGAUUAACAUGUUCCCUCCGUCCAUCGUAUCGUUUCGUUCAAGCACAAUUGUUCGAGGAAAAAGAUUCGAAUCUCGGAUAAAGUUUCGCGCUGGCUCCAGAGUCAUUAUCGUUUCGCCGUCGAGGCCAGAAUGGCGAGUUCGAUGGCUAUGGGGGGAUGAGAUGAGAUGGUGAGAGUGGGAGAAAGGGUAAAGGCACUAACGAGCCGCGUGAGACUCCGAGUUUGGUGUUACACGCGUUUAUCCCAAUUAUCGGUGUCUCGAGAUGACGUCACACGAGCAUACAAUAUACAUACACAUACACCCACACUCUCUCUCUCUCUCUCUCUCUCUUCAUCGAUAAACACGUAUACACAUAUAUGUGGUCCGGCAUAUACGAGUGUGUAUAUUUAUGUACAUAACAAAAUACAUAUAACGAAACAAGAACGAGGAAAAAAAAGGAGGGCACGAGUAGUACUCGGUUCGUCUCGCUUGUAACGCUUUCGUUUACAUACGUUUAAUUACACGCUUAUCGGGUUCGACGCUCGUUCCGCGUUCGAUAAAAUUUAUCAAAGCGUUACACGAAGCCGAUCGAAGUUGGGAGUAUGUCGAAGGGCCAUCCAAUAUCUUUACGUUUCGUUUCGUUUCGUUUCGUUUCGUUUCGUUGGUACGUUAAUUAAAGGCGAGAAGGAGAAGGCUCCCUCAACCAACCCACAUCUCUACCCCAAUACUUCCCCUCUCUUCACGUUCACCAAUUUUUUUCGAGAUUUAUCGAGAGCCAAGAAAAAUCUCAAGUAAUCUUGUCUCAACGUAUGUAAUAAAUAACUCUUUGUAACAUAAAUAUAUGGGCGAAUUCGUUUUGACUUUACGUGUCGUUUAAGUGUACUCGAUGAUUAUUAAUUAUGUUCGUCCAAUUAAUCAACUAUUAUUCGAUAUAUACGUCUCUUCGUAAUUUUCUGACGAAACUUUUCAAAUACCAAGUUGCGAGGAACGCAUUAUUUUUUCUAAUAAAUUAAUUUGUAUGUAUGUGUGUAUGUAUAUACAUAUAUGUGUCGAAUACGUUUCACACGAUAGUGAAAUUUUUCGGGUUUGUUAUUAACUACCUAUGUAUACCUAUAUCUAUGAUUUAACAAAUACUUUUAUCUUAAUAUCAAGCUGUACAUUUGGCGAACAUAACGACGGCUCGACGUAUAUUCGUUUCCAUAUACGCAAAAAUAUGUUCGUGCAUACGUACAUACAUACAUACAUACAUACAUACAUGCGACAUACGAUAUAAAUACGAUAUACAUACGUACAUAUGUAUGUACUGCGAGGUGGUAAUGUCAUGCGACUACACAUACACACACACACACAAGCGAACGGUAAAUUUUUCUUCCCAUGACUCGCACGAUCAUUAUUUUCUUCGUAUUUUACUAUAAAAUUCGUAGCUCUCGUUCUUCAUAAACGUUCGAAGUAACGUAACGCGUUUCUUUGUAUUACUACCAAAAUAAAAAUCGCGAGAUCUCUACACUGCAAAGCGUAUCGUCGGCGAUGCAAGGAAAAACAGUGAAAAUAAUGGACGUGAAUAUUUUGUUUCUUUUCUUUUUCUUUUUUUUUUUUCUUUUUUUCUUAUGAAAAAAGUUUGCGCUCGUCCACGCGCACAAGGCAAGUCCAGUUUUCAUCAUGAAAUUUCAGUUUUCUAGCACGAAAUUAGAAUUCGCUGAAUAAUUCGUUCAAAGAGAGAGAAAGAGAGAAAGAGAGAGAGAGAGGUAACAAAGAUAGAUAGAUAGAAAGAUAGAAAAAGAUAGUAGAGAAAUAGAUACUACGUAGAAGAAGGGAAAGAAGAGAAGCAUUUUUAGUUUUUUUUUUUUUUUCUUUUGAGAAGAUUUGCUCGGAUUAAUUGGGCGGUUCGGUGAAACCGUGCACCCUUACGCUCGAGAUCACAUAACUCACGAUCUCUGUUAUCUAACGGGUGUCUAAUGCGAAAAGAAGGAAUGAAGGGUAACGCUAGUGAGUUUCAUAUUUAACUAUUCUUAACCCACGUCGAACGUUAACAAUUUUCUCGUUUGAAAAAAUCAUCCUUUUCGUAUAUUACGCAGAAUAUUCGGACAUUAACGAUAAACAACGAGAACGUUAGAUAAUAAUGCGAAAGACGUGUGAGGUUAAAUAUUUCUUAGUAAUCGAAUAGAAAUUGGAACGUUUAAAUUUCAAUGGAGAUAAGAAAAAUUGAUCUUUUUUAUUCACAACAAAUACCUACCAACUUAUAACUAACUUUCACCGUGCAAAUUUUUUCUAUCAAUUAUCGUAGUAUUGGAACGAAUAAGAUGACAAAAUCAAAAGAAAAAAAAAAGAAAAGAAAGAAGAAAAAGAAAUGAUUUGUUUAAGAUCGAUCAAGAAAAUCGUUAGAUCGUUUGAUAGAGAUCCAUAAGAUCGAUAGAGAAAGAAGAAUCGUGCGAACAGUUCGAUGAGGAUAAAAAGCCUGAUCGCCAACGUCGUCGUGUUCGUAAUGGAUACAUUGGUGAGAGAGAUACUCCUUUCCUCUUAUCCCUCCCACUUCACCUUUCUCUCUCUCUCUCUCUCUCUCUCUCUCUCUCUCUCUCUUUUUUCUCCUCUUUCGAUUCGGCGGCUCUUUCUCACGGCGGAAUCCCUUUGAUCGCGGUCACGUAUCCGACCGUUGAGAAAAGAAACGAAGGACCUGCCUCGACGAUACCUCCUAAUUAACAUAUGCGAAGCGAGACGUGUCACACACAUACACAUAGCAUACUCUUUCUCCUUCUCUCUUUUUCCCUCUCUCUUUUUCCUUCUCUCUCUCUCUCUCUCUCUCUCUCUCUCUCUCUCUCUCUCUCUCUCUCUCUCUCUCUCUAUCUAUCUAUCUAUCUUUCUCUUUCUUUAUCUUUCUCUCUUACAUACCUACGAUUAUGCUCCUCAUAUCCGUUAGUACGUGAUUCAAAUUCCGAGUACUUCUCGAUCCGAUCGCAGCAUCCGAAAGAGAGAGAGAGAGAGAGAGAGAGAGAAAGAGAGAAAAUAGAACAUCGAAUGCAUCUGAAUUUUAGAUUAAAAAUGAGCUCGACUUUGUCUCUUAAGUAUGAUUUUGUUCUCUUAAAGUAUUAUUUAGAAAGGUAUUAUAUUCUGUCGAUAGAGUAUUAUAGAGGAUUAGAACUUUAUAUGUAUAUGUAUAUAUUAAUUCGAUCAAUAAUUUUAUGAUACCCGAUAUCAAUCAUUAUCACGAGAGGACAAUUAUUAUUUGUUUAUUUAUUUAUUUUUUUUUUUCAUAGAUUUCAUAUUAGUCAAAUUAAUUUUGCGACACGUAGCUUAUUUUAAAAGUAAUAAACCUAAAGCAACGUAACGUAUCUCUACGUGAGUAAAACCGGUAAAAGAGGAAUAAAAGAGAGAGAGAGAGAGAGAGAGGGGGUGGUACUUACAAACGAGAGGAUGAAUUCCAACGGUUCCACUAAUAUUAUCCAGCUUCUCGGGUUGGUGGUAUGUAAGUAUAAUAUGUACUUACACGUAUACGUAGAGAACGUGUACGCGACCAGGAAGUAACGUCGACGCUUCACUCCCUUCUUUCAAAUUUUUUUUUUAUUCCUCGUGUUUUCUUUCUCUCUCUCUGUCUCUCUCCCUCUCUCUCUCUCUCUCUCUCUCUGUCUGUCUGUCUCUUUUUUCCUUUGUAUUUUCAUUUUUCGUUUUAUUCUUUGCUUUUCUUUUUUCAUUUCUUUUUUCAUUUCUUUUCUUUUUUUUAUUCGUUUACCUCCUUUUUCUUUUUUACAUUCCUCUUUUUAUAUUAUUUUUUUUUUCGUCCUUCUUUCUUCCUCGUUUCUUUUUUUGUUCCUCCAGUUCGUCAGGACCUCGCGCGUUGCACCAUGCUUCUACUCGACGCAGCCAUUUUUUUCGUCCCAACAAAAAUGCACUCCGAGAACAUGACAGUGGUACACUUGAGCGAGCAAAUGAGGGUUAUCUAGGGAUAGAGGGAAGGAGAGAGAUACUCGGAAUCGUGAUCGGGGUAAAAGAAGGAAGGGUUUGAAGUUUCUCAGAGAAAUAAAUCGAAUUUCUCGCGUAUAAAAAUGUUAUGCUUUGUUCCUUCAUUCGAAAUUCAGAGCUCAGUUUCAACUCAGGAGCGUAGCGAGUACGGUCACCAGGUGUCACUAGAGGAUCGUAUCCUCUCUUCCCCAAAGAGCAGAUUACGCUUGGAGCUAGCAGCCAGAGCAGUAUUACUCUUCCUUCUCCUCCGCCUCCUUUUUCUCCUUCUUCUCCUCUUUCUCCUCCUUCCUCUCUUCUUUCUCCUGCUAAACCUCCUCCAACCUUAUUCCACCUUCCUCCCCAUCGUCGUCGUUGCCGUCUCGUGCAACGUCGUUCUAUAGCAUACCACCGGCAUCGUCAUGGAAACGCAAAGCCUCGAAAAAUCAUUUCGUCGAAAGUCGGCUGCUAAUAAAAAAAAAUAAAAAAAUGAAGAAAGAAAGAAAGAAAGAAAGAAAGAAAAAAAGGGAAAAGAAAACAGAAAAGAGAGAAAGAAAGAAAAAAGAAAGACAUGAGAAGGGUGGCAAAAGUCCGAUUCAGCAAGGGGUGUUUAUUGAAUUCCGUUGCGAUCCAUUAUUUGCGGCCUGCUGAAUCCGAGGCCACGAGCAAUAAAUCGCCCGAAUCUGUGGGCCCAACAAAGGGAGAUGUUCGAAGGGUUUGAAAAUCCACGUCGACGACCUCGAAUCAUCCCUUUCCUUCUCAUCCAGGAAAACGCUCGAGGGAACUGGUUAAGCGGUACUUCGCUUGGAAGGACUCGAUGCUUAAGGGCUCCUCGAGUAGUUCUCUCCUUGAUCAAACGAGCCACGGUUUAUUACCGAAUCAUCAUCGGUAACAUCGACGAAAUCUAAAGUCGAAUCGUCGUUUUGCAUUCAUCGAAAAAAAAAAAAAAACGGAAGGAGAGAAAAAAUCGAUUGUAAAAUUCUUUCGUUGUUGUUGUCGCUGUUGUUAUUAUUGUUGUUUAGUUUUUUUUUUUUUUUUUUUUUUAAUCUCAAUCAAUGGAUAAUAUUUUUCCAAUCGCUUAUACUUGUAAUACGAAGGAAAGUUUAUUUUUAAUAUCUCGACGAUAUUAUGUAAUGUUAUAUAUACGUAUGUAUAACAUGUAUAACAUGGAUUAUUUGCAAUAAAUCAAGAUAUUUGAUCUAUACUCUCAAGUUCGUAAAAAAGUUCUUAUUACAAAUAUUUUGCGAAUUGCAAUCACCGUGAAAAAAUUGUUUUCAUACUUUUGAAUGAUUAAUACGAUAAAGAACAAAUCGAUGAAACGUAUUUGUUAUUUGUAAAUGAACUGAAUAUACAUAUACACACACGCACACAUAUAUACAUAUAUAUCGUCUGUCAUAUACUUUGUACGUAUUAUUCAAUCAAUUUAACAAGAUCAAACAAUCAUUUUUCGCGAUAAUGGAUUAUGAAAUUCUCAAGUGAUUACGCACCUAUAAAAUCCAAGAAUGGCAUACGAUCCGGUAUCGUGUAAAAGAGGCUUAUAACGAUGCACAUACACGGCCAUUAAUUCAUUCCAUUCAGAAAUAAUUGCUCGCAUCGCGAUGAGAUAAAAGGGAUACCGUGGGUCUGGACCAGUUGGCACCCACCCUUCGGAGCUUACAGUUUGGAACCCUUGAUACACAACGAAUCAGGGCAAAGCGUGGUCGUUAGCAUGCCGGUCUAUCGUUUAUCCUUUCUUAGUGGCUAACCCCUGGAAACUCGACAGCAAUACGAUAUGCCAUACGAAUCCCUAGGAAGUGGUGGCCAGCUUGAAUCGAGGAAAUUCUGUCUCACGCUACUCUUCUCUUAUCUUAGUGGAUAAACAGAUAAGAAACUGGAAUGAAUCGAUUUCACGAACGAAUGAACGAACGAAUGGACGGACGGACGAACGAACGGACAAACGAACGAACGAACGAACGAACGAACACAAUCGAUCGAAUUUCACGAGGAGUGAAUGAAGAUAGGAUAAAUCGGAUUAAUUAAUUGGAUUGUACGAAAGAGUAAGAUUUAAAUAUAUAUUUAUAUAUAUAUGCUUUUUCGUUAAAUCAAUAAAAUCAUGAUCGUGGAAUAAUUCUCGUGGCAUGAGAAAAGGUUAAGGAAUAUACGUACGGAUUUGGAUUUACUCCAGGGAAAACAGAAAGAACCAGACAAAGAGAGAGAGAGAGAGAGAGAAAGAGAGAGAGAGAGUUUCGACGACACAAUUAUAAAAGUUCGUCCGUCGAUGGAGAUGCGCGUGCCACCGAGAGCAACGAGGAAUCGGACGUUCCGAUAGCAAGAUAGAGAUAGAUAGAUAGAUAGAUAAAGAGAGAAAAAGAAAGAAGAAGAGAGAGAAAGUGAGAAAGAGAGAGAGAGAGAUAGAAGGAGGGUAGAAACGGCAGGGUGGUAGUUGCCCCGUUGAAUCAAGAUGAGGGAGAGCUUGGAUGGGGUGAGACCGGGAAGGUGGUCGGAAGCGGACAGAGCCAUGGGUUGGGUUCCACGGGAGUGGAUGGAUGGGCGAGUUGUGAGUUAUCAGGGUCGGGCAGGCUCGUGGCUCUACUUGUCCUCUCUCUCGCUCUCUCUCUCUCUCUCUCUCUCUCUCUCGCUCGCUCUCUGUCUCGCUCGCUCUCUCGCCAGUCUCCACUAGAAAGAGAGAGAGAGAGAGAGAAAACUAGUGGGAUGGACUGGGGUAGUUCUGGCCAGGUCCUAUCCACCAGGAGCCUCAGUGGGUUGGGGUGAUCGAUAUGCCGUGUGGCAGUACGCCUCUGCCGUAUAGCGUGGCACGUCGACGUGCGCACCCUCCUAAUUAACCCUUUUCAACGCGAUGCGUGCCACUCUUCUAUCUACCCCUCCGCAACUCGACUCUCUCUCUCUCUCUCUCUCUCUCUUAUCUAUCUCGCCUUCUGUCACUCUUUCUUUCUCUUUUUUUUUUCUCUACUUCUCUUUAUAUUUCUUCUUUUAUUUCUUUAGUUUACUUUUGCUUUUAAUUUUACCUUUGUUAUAAUUAUUCCAACCGUAUAAUUUUUUACCUUACAAUUUUGCCCUUCGUUACCCCUGUUAUCACGUAUCGAACUGUUCGAAAUUUCCCGCCGAAAGUCAUCGCUCGACUUCCCUACCUUCAUUCUCUACACUAACUCCUUCUCUCUCUCUCUCUCUCUCUCUCUCUCUCUCUCUCUCUCUCUCUCUUUCUUUCUCUUUCUCUUUCUUUCUAUGUCGAAUGGACGUACGCGUCACCUCCACGAUACCAAACCCCCCUCCCCACGUUGCCAUCGUUUCAUAGUGAAAUAUGACGCUUUUUAAAUCGUGAUUUAAGCGCGUUAACUGACCUAAAGAUGUCACAUUCAUCAUUCCUUUAUAAAAAAUAUGAUAACAUUCUUCUCCUUCUUAUUUUUUAACUUUUCUUUUUUGUCUUCUAGUUUUUUUUCUUUAAAUCUUUUUCUAUUUCUAUUUUUUCUUUUUUCCUUUUUCUUCUUUUCGAUUCAUUGAGAUAACCGAUUUUUUACACUCUCUCAUUUAUAUAUAUCUGAUAAAUAUUAAUAAUCAUUUUCUCGACAGAUACGAAGAUUUUUACUCGAAACGAAAAAAGAAGUCGAAUAUUUUCUUUGAAACGAUAAAAACAAAUCCGUGAAGAACAAAGAUAUGUACGAGUAUAUUUACAAAUGAAUGAUCGAAAGAAGACAAAAAUUUCUCUCACGAUGGUAGAGUCUUCGAAGCUUGUUAGUGAUUCGAACGUCAUUCUUGUUUACUAUCUACCUCUCUCUCUCUCUCUCUCUCUCUCUCUUUCUCUCUUUCUAUCUCUUCCUCUUUCGAAGAGAUCAUAUCGAUAUUUCUAUGCUGUAGUCUAUCUCGUGCAGUGUGCACGGCAUGUCGAGAAGGGCAGUGUGUUGGAGAAUACGGAUGGAAGAGUGAAGAGGAUGGGAAACGUGAAUCGGGGCGAGUAGAGAAGGAGUGAGUGAGUGAGAGAUAGAGAGAGAGGGGGAGAGAGAGAGAGAGAGAAAGGGUAGGUGGGGUCGAAGCGAUCAGAACUACCGGCAGGCGUCACGCGCCAUUCAAUCCCUUGGCGUCGAUGCCUCCUGCUUGCACCCUCGUUCUAAUUCGAACCUUCGUACGUAUAUAUAUGUGUGUGUAUAUAUAUGUGUGUGUAUAUGUAUAUGUAUAUAUAUAUAUGUAUGUAUAUGUAUAUGGACAUAUAUGUAUGUACGUGUAUAAAUUUUCACGAUAGAAAAUUCUCACGAAAGACGACAAUUUUUGAAAAUUUCGAAUUAAUAAUCGGUACGAUCGACGAAAGAUACUUCUUUAAAUCGUUGUGCACAAUAAAAACGACCUGAUAUAAUAACGUAUCUUCGUAGGUUUGUUUUAAUAAAAUUAUAAAUAAAUUUAUUUGGAUUCUUACAUCGUAAACCUAUUACAUGGGAUACGCUUGUUUUCUUUUUUUUUUUUUUUUUUUUUUUUUUUAAGAGGAUAGAGAGACACACAGACACCAGUAGAAAUGAAUUUCGAUGGACAUUGGCUUUAUGUUGUGGCCAAUUUAUUAUUACAAAUUUAUCGAUAACCCACGUGCGUAUAUACGUCACACGGGAAUUCGUUUGGAAUGAUUAAUCGACACGGUAAAAUAAUUAACGCUUAAUACAAUGCAUUAUAUACGAUUUGCGAUAAUCAUUGCAAACGGAGAAUCACGGGAUACUAUUAUUCUCUUUAUUUCAUCUUAUUAUAUGUAUUCUUUUAAUAUUAUCUAUGUUAUUCAUUAUUAUUAUUAUUAUUAUUAUUAUUAUUAUUAUUAUAUAAAAAAAAAAGAAAACACGUUCGCAUGCACAAGUAAAACAUACGUUUCCGAUUAACCCCUAUCCUCGCUAUCAAACAAAAAGAAAAGAAAAAAAUAGUCUUAUUUGUUCCAUCGAAUUUUUAUCACGGAUCUAUCCGUAUUUUAAGGGAAUGCUGAAGAGAAAAAAAAAGAAAAGAAAGAAAAAGAAAAGAAAAAGAGUGGGAACAAAAAAUUGAAAUUUCAGCGCUCGUUUUAAAGGAGCAACGAACGAACAGGUAAAAUAAAAGAGAGAAAAAGUGAUAGAGAUGGAAAGAGAGGGGAAAGAGAAAGAGACAGAGAGAGAGAGAGAGAAAGAGAGAGAGAAAGAGAGAGAGAGAAAGAGAGAAAGAAAGACAGAGAAAGAGAGAGGAAGAGAGAGGAGUAGCGUAUGGUAAUGGCGCGUAAUACGAUCUGAUUGCAUUUAUGAUGAAUGGGGGAUCCGCUUGGGAGGGUUUGGGGCGCGUGUCGAGUCGGGCAGUUGGAAAUUCUGCUUGCGGUUUAAUGACAGCGCCAUGGUUGGUCCGUACGUUCGUUCGUACGAGCCAUACACAACCCCUCUUACUCAUCCCUCUUAUCCCUCAUGCUCUUUCUCACUCUCUACCUUUCUCUCUUUCUCUUUCUAUCUCUCUCCCUCUCUCUCUCUCUCUCUCUCUCUCUCUCUCUCUCUCUUUCUCUAUCUAUCUAUCUAUCUGUCUUUUUCUCACUGUCUCAUUCCCUAAUUGUAUCUUCGUUCAGAAAGAGAGAGAAAGAGAAAGAAAAAGAAAACUGAGAUACGAUGGAAAUCGUAAGUUCACGGUCUCGCGCACGCGCCCUUUUUUUUUUUUCUUUUUUUUUCUCUUUCAUUUUUUCUUUUUUUUUUGAAUUAUUUUUAUUAAGGACGAAGAAGGAACAUCGAAUAAUUACAGACCUCGUAUUCGUUAAAGUCGAGUUUUCGCGAGUAGAUAUCCUUUAAAAGGAAAAAAAAAAGAAAGGAAAGAGAAAAGAAAGAGAGAAAGAGAGAAAAAAGAAAACGCUUAUCACGGUGAUCCUUGUGAAAGAGAAGGGGGGAAAAAGAUGGAAGGAAGGAAAGAAAAAAAAGAAAGAAUGAAUGAGAGUACACGUUUUCAGGUAGAUCGUGUAUAUCCUUUCAUUCAUUUUUGGCGAGACUGACUACGUCACGAUACUUUUGAAAAUAUUUUUAAACAAUGAGAAGAAGUCGGAGGGACUCGAUGAUAACGCUUUAAAUCCCAUCGUUUAAUAUAAACCAUCGUUCGUUUCGUGAACGAAAGAGAAAGAGAAGGAGGAUAAAAGAAAAAAAUAUUAAUGACUUCAAUCAUUAUCACAAAACGUAUUACAAAGUCAACGAAGUAAUACGAGGAAGAUUUGUAAAAUAUUUCUUAAUAUUUUUACUUUUUAAUCUCGUCGCUUAUACUUCAUUAUUAUUUGAUUAAUUUUUUUGUCGAGUGGAAAAAGGAAACAUUAUAUAAUAUAACGUUAAGAACUUACGAAAGAUUUAAACAUUAAUCUGGGAUUUAAUCGAACGGUUAAUUGUAAUAUCGCGAUGUAUGACGUAAAGAGAUUACAUAAUUCCAUAACGUUCGUCAAACUUAUAGAUACAUAUUUCUAUUUAUUUCUUUUUUUCUUCUUCCUCUUUCUCUCUCCUUUUCUUUUUUCGAAGACACGACACGGAGAAAGAAAAAAUUCCUCGAUUUAAGCAGGUCGAUUCUUUCACACGCGACUUCCAGCGAGACGAGACGAGGGGUUUUCUCUCUCUCUCUCUCUCUCUCUCUCUCUCUCUCUCUCUCUCUCUCUUUUUCUUUCUCUCUCUUUCUCUCUCCCUCUUUCUCGUCGUUCUUCCAUCCCUUCGGGAUUCGUUUUCGAGCUCAACGAUGCGCGCUCUCGAUAACGAUUUUACGAGGCACGCCCUUUCGUCGAGAGGACGACGACGACGACGACGACGACAACGACGACGACGACGACGACGACGACGACGACAACGACGACGACGAUGACGACGAAGUAGAGGAAGGAUAUCGAGAGCUUCGUCGUUUUACCUCUCCUAUCGUGGAAUCGAAUCUGGUUCGUAUCGUUCAACGUGUAGUAUCGACGACGUUGAGCUCGCGUUACUCCAACGUAUUUACGAGAACCGUGACGAAUCGUCGAUCGAACGAAAACCAACCUACAUAUACAACAUACUUUUAUUUCUCGAUCGGCGAAAAAAAAAGAGAAAAAAGGAAAAAAAAAAGAAAGAGUUUCCUUUACGAGAAAGCUUUUACGAUAGAUUUCUCGAGAUAAGAUGAUAAUGAGUAUUCAAAAUAGAUUAUUUCCUAUUGAUCUAAUAAUUAGAAAGAAAUUAGAUAAGCAUUAGAAAUAAUUUAGUGUUUAUAUAAUUGGUCUAUGAUUUAUCAUUGAUCGAUUCUAUUCGUUUUUCUCGUUAUCCUUUUUUUUUAUCGUUACUUGUAAUAAUCGUUACUUAAAAAAAUUAUAAUUCGUUCCAUAUUCCGACUUGUUAUUUGUCUCUUUUCUUUGAUCUUUUUUCUAUUCUUUUUUUUUUCUUUAUCUUCUUUCUUUUAGAAAAAAAUUUAUUAUCUGUGUUUGUUGUGCCUAUGGAAACCGAUGCAUUUGGAACGUUUAUUUAUAAAAAAGUGGAAACUGAUCAGAACUCAUCGUCAUCAUCGUCAUCAUUCAAUUCACUGACUAACGAACUGUGUACUAAAUAAGGUGUGAUUAGAAUAAUAUUUCAAAUGUUAUAAGAAAAAUCUAUUUAACAUUAAUGUAUGAACUUGAAUUAUUGUAAAGAAUAAAUUGUACUUAUCAAUGAUCU